UUGAAUCAUCUCAGCUCUCAUAUCACGUAUGACGCGCCUACGUCACGUCGUCACAACCUGAAGCUAAAGUGGCGAGAGAGCCGUCUCGGCUCGAGCGCGGUCCGGAUUUUAGCUCCACACUGUCGCCAGCCAGACUCCCCACCACAGUGACACAAACCAACCAGCCGCCUCGAGAGGUUGCUGGAGAGGUAUGCAGCGAUGGUCUGGAGGAAAAAAUAGUCACAUGGACUGGUGUGCAUUCCAGUACUUGAAAUGAUGCUGUUGCUCAGGCACAUCCAGGUGCGAGGAUGGGGGAGAUCCGGAUGUCGCUAAAUAAAAGAAUCUGUGAACUGCUUCACCAAGAGAAAAAGAAGUCCAUGGACAGGCCUAUGAGCCCUCUUGUUGACCUUGAGUGACUGAGGCUGCGGGCGGUCUGCCCCUGAAUUCACCUUCACUUUCACUUUUUUUUUUUUGUUAAUAUAUCUGAAGGUGUGUGUGUGUGUGUGUGCGCGUGUGUGUGUGUGUUUGUGUGUGCGCGGGCACGCGUAUGUGUUUGUGUGUGUGCGCGUUUGUGUGUGUGCACGCGUGCAUGUGUGCCAGUGCUUUAUGUGAGGUGUUUCGCUUACCGGCCACAGCCACAGUUUUUGUUUUGUUUUC